CCCGGUGCUUAUGUUGCAUUUCGUAGUCAUUUUUCCGAGGCUGACUUUUACCACGAAAGCCGUUCUUGGCUGACUAUGGAAUCCUUUGUUUCUUUCUCUCUCCAGAAAGUUAUGAAAAGUAAUGAUUUUUUGCUUGAUUUUUCAGUCACUCAGCUAAUUGUUCUGAAUUGGCAGACAUCUUUGGCUCUGACCUCUCCUAAGAGGACGAUUUUUACAGCAAUGGAAGAGAGUGCAUUAACUCAAUUAACAAUUGAACAAGCAGAGUCCUCUGCUCUUUGGCUCAGUACACUUAGGCAAAAGGCAAUAAAUUCACACUUCAUCGUCUGCCUGUCAGCAAGUGUCAGGAUGAAAUGGUCAUGUAUAACAGCAACAUAACAAUAUCUGGAGUUGAAUUUAAAGAGAAAGUUUUAAAUGCAAAGAAAAUGCAAUGAACUGUUUUUAAAAUUUAACUUUAGCAAAAUAAACAAAGGUGAUUUUUU
rnacentral:lncRNA from 1 species